rnacentral:rRNA from 1 species
GACGAACGCUGGCGGCGUGCUUAACACAUGCAAGUCGAACGGAAAGGCCUGCUUUCCCUUGUGGAUUGCGGGUACUCGAGUGGCGAACGGGUGAGUAACACGUGAGUGAUCUGCCCCCAACUUGGGUAUAAGCCUGGGAAACUGGGUCUAAUUCCCGAUAGGACUGCAGGGUGGUGCCUGUGUUGGAAAACGAUUUUCUAGUGGGUGGGGAUGAGCUCGCGGCCUAUCAGCUUGUUGGUGGGGUAAUGGCCUACCAAGGCGGGGAGGGGUAGCCGGACGGAGAGCGUGGACGGGCGCAGUGGGACUGGGUCACGGCGCCGACGCGAGCGGGCGGCAGGAGAGGGGAGGCAAGGGCCGCGAGCGGAAGCCAGAUGCAGCGAGGCGGCGUGGGAGAUGACGGGGUUCGGAUGGUAUACUCCUUUCGAAGACGAGGAAGCGACCUGGAUGGAAGGGUGGUGACGGUAGUGGAAGAAGAAGCACCGGCUAACUACGUG